rnacentral:rRNA from 1 species
GAUGAACGCUGGCGGCGUGCCUAAUACAUGCAAGUCGAGCGAACAGAUAAGGAGCUUGCUCCUUUGAAGUUAGCGGCGGACGGGUGAGUAACACGUGGGUAACCUACCUAUAAGACUGGGAUAACUUCGGGAAACCGGAGCUAAUACCGGAUAACAUUUAGAACCGCAUGGUUCUAAAGUGAAAGAUGGUUUUGCUAUCACUUAUAGAUGGACCCGCGCCGUAUUAGCUAGUUGGUAAGGUAACGGCUUACCAAGGCGACGAUACGUAGCCGACCUGAGAGGGUGAUCGGCCACACUGGAACUGAGACACGGUCCAGACUCCUACGGGAGGCAGCAGUAGGGAAUCUUCCGCAAUGGGCGAAAGCCUGACGGAGCAACGCCGCGUGAGUGAUGAAGGGUUUCGGCUCGUAAAAAUCUGUUAUUAGGGAAGAACAAAUGUGUAAGUAACUGUGCACAUCUUGACGGUACCUAAUCAGAAAGCCACGGCUAACUACGUG